CUGCACGGGCAUGACCUACAUUCGACCCUGACCCACCUGCCCCAUGGUGGGCUGCAUGCCUGCCACUGCUCUCUGUUGCUGCCGGCAGGGAAUUCGGCUUGCCAGUUAAUUAUUUCCAUUUCAUAUUCGUGUCUCUUUGCACUUUUAGAAAGUCAAAAACAUGAAAGGCACAGCGCUGUUCACUUACAAGUACUAGGACAGCAGAGCCUCGAUGACAUUUGCUAUGUUGGAGGAGGUGUACCAGAUUUCCCCCUUCGGCAAGCCCGAUGGGAUAGCAGCCGUGGAAUCCAGGUGAGAGCAGUGAUUGUCAGUAGUGCAGCAAGCAAGGGCAAAAGUUCUCGCCUGUCUGGCGACACUUCCAGACAAUGCAGAGCAGUGCACAAACUCGAGAUUGAUCCGCAUUGCGACAGCACAGCUGCAGUGCCGGAAGCCCUCAUCCCACAGCUCCAGCUGUACGUGCCCAGCUCUCACGUGGUUUGCCACGCUGCCACUGAGGCGUUUCUGUCUUUUGCUUCAAGACAAGGACCGGUUCUGGUCAACAUUCACGCUUUUGCAUUAUUUCUCAGAUUCGCAGGUCAUUUGAGGCACAGUACCUUUCAGCUUUCUGGGUUUUUUUUUCCCCGCGAUUAGCAGAAGCACUGCAACAAUUAGCUCAGAAUGUUGAGGAAGGAGGCACUUCAGAAGCUUCAACUGAGUUCUCACAAAUGGUUCGACAAACACAAUGUGUUUUCUUCUAAUGUUCUAAAACGUCAGCUGUUGGCAUGAAUGAGGAAUGAUUUAGAAAAUGUUUCCUAACACUUAAUGCAAAAAAAUUGUGAGGAAUACUGUUAGAACUGUCAUAAUAAGAUUGCUUCUGAUUUCUUUUUGCCAAGAUGUAUAUUAAAAAAUUGGACAGAGUGAAGAAAAUAACGCAAAGUAAGCCGCACCUAAAGCACACGCAUCAGAAAUGGAGCAGCUCUACUUUAACUGUAGCUGAAUGAAUCACUAGGAUUUGAUUUAAAUUUUGAAAAUAGGAACACAGGAGAAGAUCCAAUGUAAUUUCUCUUUACUUCUCAGAUACAAACGUUUCACUGCAUAGCAGCGCUAAUAAAUGGAAACGUUAACAACUAUGACUUCAUUAUUUUGCAGACAAAUGACAGUUUUCGGUCACAACAACCCCAGGCAAACCUGCAGGCUUGUGGAGGAGUGACUGGAAAGCUGUCAUACAGAAAGGACCUCGCUGCACCAAUAGACGGUCGGCUGAAUACGAGCCAGCAAUGUGCUCAGGUGGCCAGGAAGGCCACUGGCAUGCUGACUCGUAUAGGGAACGGUGCGGUGAGCAGGACUAGAGAAAUCAUCCUGCCCCUGCAGUCGGCGAGGCCUCAUCUCGAGUACUGUGUUCAGCUUGGGGCACCUCAGCGCAGAAAGGACGUGGAGGUGCCAGAGCAGGUCCGAAGAAGAGCAGCAAGGCUCACAAAGGGCUUGGAGAAUGUGCUCUGCGAGGAGUGACUGAAGGAACUGGUGCUGUUUAAUCUGGGGGAAGGGAGGCCAGAGGAGAGACCUUAUCGCUCUCUUCUAAUGCCUGGAAAUUGCUUACGGCGAGAGCAGGGUUGGUCUCUUCUCACCGGCGAAAGGUGACAGGACCAGGGGAAACGGCCUCAAGUUGCGCCAGGGGAAGCUUAGAUUGGAUAUGGGGAAAAACUUCUUUACAGAAAGGGCUGUGAAGCACUGCAAUAGGCUCCCCAGGGAGGCAGUUGAGACACUAUGCCCAGAUGUGUUUAAGAACCAUUUGGACGCGGUGCUCAGGGACAUGAUUUAGCAGAGGGUUGUGAGGGUAGUCUGGUUAGGUUGUGGUUGGACUCGACGAUCUUCCAGGUUUCUUCCAAAUUGAACAAUUAUACAAAUCUACGAUUCAGUGACUUUUCUGACCUAUCCCCAAAUUCAGAACGCACCGAUGCUGUGAGUACUCGUUUACCUGGGAUAUGGUAGCUUGGUAAAUAAGCACUGUGCUCAGCCUUCAUUUUGUCAUAAUGAAAUUCUUCAGGUAGGCGAUGCUCGUCUCUUAUUAUUUCCUUAGGAGUGACUAAAGUUUUAAAAAGUGUCUAAUUUGCUUCUCGUAACGCUGACAGUUUGGCAGCGAGGUGUUUAUGUGCCUCACUCGUAGCUGUGAUUUUUUUCUGGCAUUAAUAUCUGAGCAGCUUUACUCAGGGUUUUGCACCAGAGAUCAUUUUGCUUGCUGUGACAGUGUUUCUUAUUAUGCAAUUGUUAGAGGAUCGCUGCCUGAUGCGGUUAAAAACAGCCUGCUCUGAUCUCGGCCACUCUGCGACCUUGCUGCCAAAGCUCCCGGCAGAAGCCAUGUUAAAGACGUGGCCUUGCCUUAUAGGCAACGCAGGAGAGCCAGCCAGCAUCAAACGCAUCCCAAAGUUUUUGCCAACGUUUUCACUUACUGUUGCAACAUUAUCGAGCAGAAUUCACACUGAUGCCGCGCUGGCCUUGAGGAAAAUAAUAGCCAAAAAAGACCCUGUGAAGGUAACCAUCAUUAUUGUGUCUGAGAUUGCAAUUGACAGUGCGAUUCGGGCUGCCUUAGCGAUGUGGGAAUAAUAAAGGCAUCGGGUGACGGUAGCAACUCCGGGCAGAUUUUGUAGUAACCAGUUUUCCUCUUUCCCACGUUGCAAAUCCCUGGCAUUACCCCAUCCAUGUUGACAUUCUGGGAAGGGGGUUGCAUCAGUCACCGUCACACUGCAACUGUUGCUAACAGGUCUUUCUUCCAGCCCUGUUCAUUACGCAUCCAGCAAUUUUUUUCAUUUUCAGCGACGGGCUCUGUGCUCAAUGCUUUUUUUGGGGUUUUGUUCACCAUUCACUGCAGAUCAGACGUGCACAGUUUAGGAAACACUUCUUCCUGAGGAAUUUUGAGGUGUUCACAAGUUGUACCUUCCUUCUCAAGGUAAGGGAGAUCACUUUCCAAGUUUAUAUGGACAGCGCACUCGCUCCUUACAUGCACGUGACCACUUGCAUUGUUCUCUUUGAAACAAAGCCUUCUCUUCCUAUCAUGGCAGCCAGGGCCAGCUCACUGCUGAUGCAGACCACCUAAUGAGCAGCUAGUUUCACGCAUACACACAAGAAGGCUUUGGCAGUAGGCAGGAUCCCACAGCUCUACAAUCUACAAGUAGAAGAGAUAGAAUUUGUAGCUGCAGACGGUGUGACACAUUUUGCUGUGUUUUCUAAGAAUUUGGCCACAGUUUACUAUCUUCAUAUGGUUUUAACUCUUUAUCAUUCAGAUUUGCUGCUUGCAACAUUUCCAUUAAACUUCUGAGCCCCAGACUUGAGGGGUCGAGGGCCGAUCACGGUCUCUUUCGGAGACCCUUGGGAGCUAGUUCUGGAAGACGCGGGUCCCAGGAAGGCUGGGAAUACUGUAACGAAGAAAUUUUAAAGGUGCAGGAGCUGACCAUCCCGAACUCACAGAAGAUGAACCGAUAGGGAAGGAGACCGGUCUGGCUGAGCAGAGGCCUUCGUCCGGAACUCUGGAAAAAAGGAAAGUUUGCAGUCUUUAGAAAAGGAGGUGAGCAACUUAUGAGGAUUACAAAUAUGCAGUGAAGCUGUGCGGGGAGAAAAUCAGAAAGACGUAAACGACUUAUGGGCCGGCUUCACCCAUUUCUGUGACCGGACGGAGCACGGGCAAGUACAGACUCACGCCCCAGGGAAGGGGGAAUGGGAAAAGGGGAAAAAAAAGAGGUAAGGAGAUGGGCCUAAGAACAGAACAGUGACGACAAUCUGAGUCUUAUAUACUCGCUGUCAGGAAUGUACAAAACUUUUCUUCUUUGUAUUGAAAGAAGUAAUGAAUAAGUAACCACCGCUCAUAAAAUUGUGAUCGCAUCACGGAAGGCCUGAGCAGCCAGUCCCCUCGUAUUCAUCGCACCUUUCGGCCGCUUUAAUUGCACGGUAAUUUGUAGACACCUAGCAGUUUAAGAGGAGCCCGCCAGCAACAUCGUCGAGCCUCUCGGUCAGAUUCCGCAGCUCAGGAUCUCCACCCUUCAAAAGGACACGACCCUUCACAGACAGUAGGUUCCAAAAGUGAGAGAUGCUGUAUGUAGAUAAUUGAUGUGUAAGCCACUAGUUGUGUGAGACAGGAACCGAUUGGUGUCAUUCAGAAAUACAGAUGAACUAGACAGCUUUUGGAGAAAAGCAGUAGGAACACGUUCUCGCUAGCUGUUCUCAAAACCACUUUUAUGAGGGAAACUCUUUGUAAUCGUUUUUCUUUCUCUCGUCAAGCUGGAAAUGUUGGGAGAAAGAGCUUGUUGUAAUCAUUUAGAACCAUGGCCUACAAUUGCUCGUGAAACACACUAUUUGCAAUUUAGGCCAUCCUCUGGGAAACCAUCUAGUGCGUAGGAUGUGCAGUACAAACAUUCACAGUUAUACAAUUAUAAAAAAUAGAAUUGAGCACAGACCAACUGUCAGAAUUUUAAAUGAGGAAUGAAACUGCUAUCUGAGGUGAACGUUAUCACUGAAGUCUUGUAGUGCCUGUGUCCACGAAUAGAAAUAAUUAAAAUCUUAGAGAAAGUCAUCCUACUGAUUUAUAGGACACGGGAACGUAACCCAGAGCAACGCCGCACGGAACUGUUCGCAAAGCUCCGCUUCCAAUUUCACCACUAUGCAAUUUUCUGGCGUGUAUCAGCAGCCCAUUUGGCCACCGGUCACAUUGCCACUGCCAUAUUUCCACUGCCGUCUUUAGUCACAUGUUUUCUGAGAUUAAAUUUUUUUACCUGUUUCUCAAACGUAUUUAUUUACUUAUUUAUUUGGAGGAAGCGCGCGGCGGAGGGGGGAAGGGGGGUUGGUGGUCUCUCGAAACCGUCAGGGCCGGGGAUGUUCUCAGGCAGCGUGACUGUCUGUCAUUCCAUUCACUUCAAAUGCAAAGCGAAGCGAUCCUUUUGAAUCGGGUACAGUUAUUUAACUUGUCAACGAACCCAACAACGAGGCGAGAAGGAGAAGCGCGUAACAAACUUUAACUUGAAGUGUGCUUUAAGUCCGUAAUUCAGAUCCGGAGCGGAGCCCACGUGUCGAACUGUCAGGCACCCGAUCGGCCCUAACGAGACCCAGCCGCGCCUCGUCGGCAUUUCCCCCUGAUAGGUUGUUGUUCAGCUACUCUUAUGAGGAGAACAUCAACAGUGGCUGUGAGCUGAGCUCUUCUGAAAGCUGUAAAGGAGGAGGUGGCAGAGCUGACUGCAGAGGCAUGCCUCAAAAAUUCCAGUAGCAACUUUGCUUGCAAUUUGCAUGGUGGGAAGCAGAUGACAACAUAUCUAUUUCACUGAAGAAUUAUCAUCUUGGUGCAGUUUUUUUGGAAAGACUGUUUCUAUUAAAGGCAUAAAUGCUCUCUUACAUUUAACAAUGAGUAUGCUUAAAAAAAUAUCUGUACUGAAAUGGAAUUACUAGGCUUAGCUAGCUGAAGUUCUUUAGAGUGGAGUGGAUACCUGUCUGUCUUCAACUUUACUUAAAACAAAGAAAAUCCUCACUUACCACACAGAAGGAUGCGCUGCCUAUUUCUGCACUCUGGCCUUGUUCCCUUGGCUGCUGACAUUAGCUUACUCAUCUCAGGAAAUGAGAAUGAGGAGAAAAACUACUGCUUCUGUAAUCGGCUGUUUUGUGUUGGAUGUUCUGUAAGAGAUUCAAGCAAGACUUAAUAAAAAAACAAAUAGUUUUGAGGUAGAUGAUAGUAAUGUAAUUCAACAGACUUGCUUUAUUUAACAACUGAAAGCACUGUGUUUCCCGUGUUUGUAUCAAUA